AGUCGCCUCAGCCGCGGUGUGAGGGAGCGGGAGUCUUCCUUAGCUUCUCCGCCAUGGGUGUCGCUUCGUAGCCGGGCUGCUCCGGGAAAGGCCUCGUACAGCACGCAUUCACCAGAAUCCUGUCAGCUUUCCUCUUCUCAUCCAGACGCCUGGCCAGGAUCCUCGAUAAGACCGUGACCCCCAACUUGGACACCCCAUAAGUGCUGGGAUUACAGGCGUGAGCCAUCGCACCUGGCCUGAGUUUGCAUUUCUAGGUUCCCAGAUGAUGUGACAGCUACUGGUCUCCAGCCACACCUUGAGAACACUUGGCUUUGACUACCACUUCUUAAACUUAAAGGAAAACUAGACAAUCCACCAGCCCAGGAGGGGACAAGCAGGCUUAUUCCUCCUCCUCGUCAUCUCUGGCUCCAGCCCCACCCUGGCCCUUGCUGGCAUUCUUCCUCUUCACGUGGCUGGGGUUGGCCACCCCAAUAGGGAAGCAGAGGGAGAAGUCAAUGUGCUUCUGGGAAUCCAGGCGGACAGUGAAGAACAGGAUAUUUACCACCUGCUCACGGACACGGAUAUGACACUGUUGAAUCAGCACAUGAGCGUGGCGGAUGGACUUAGCCAAGCCAAGCUUGAAGACCUGGGUCUGUAGGA
rnacentral:lncRNA from 10 species